UGUGGAUACACUAGACAAAGGGAUGAUUUAUAUCCUGGGCAGAAUGGAGUAGGACAGUGAAAGAUUUCGCCAACAUAUUCAGAAUAGCAUGCAAUUUAAAACUUAUUUUGAAGUUGGAAGAAGUGGCAAAAUGUGAAAAGCAAGAAGCAAGUAUUACCAGAGACACCUAUGAAAAAGAAAUCUUUCUGAAGAACAUUUUUAAAGUGCCAUAAUCUGUUCGGUGAAUCCAAAGGCUGAAAGAGACUGAGUAACAGCUAUUAAGUAAGGUGAAAAUGUUAUUUUACAUGGAAACCUAUUUUGUUCCAUAAAACUAAAUAAACCAUAACCCAGAAGUGCAAUGAGACACACACAGCAUGACCACAUUAUUUCUGAAAGCUGAAGAGUUGCCAGUCUGUUGAUCUCAAACUUCAUGAACCACACAGUUCAGUUCAAAUUGUUUCCCUGAAAUUGCUUUGAGCCUCUGCCAAACAGCCACUGAAGGACUCCGAAAAAUACAAGAACUGAAAGGGGCACAUGGCAGAUACAAUCAUAAACUUUCAUUUCGGAGAGCAGUAAAAAAGGAGAAGAAGAACACACUGGUACUCCAACAAGUCAUAGUUUCUGCCAGAUGUUGCAAAAGUGAGUUAGAUAACUGACCUUUCUUCUGGGGCCUGUGUCAACUUUGAAUGGAGCUUUCAAUUGUACAAUAAGCAUCUGGACAGUUUUGACAUCUUUAUAACACUCUUUGAGUUCUUAAAAAGCUACCAUUUUGUUUAAAGAUGAUUUAUGUGAAGAUUAAAACAAUUACUUAAGUGCUAAGAAUAAUUAAUCCUGUAACUCCAUAUCAAUACCAUUAUCUUCCCAGAACUGGGUCUCUAACUACUAAUCAUAAUCAAGACACCAACUGUCAAAUCAAAUCAAAAUUAAAAUUUGAUUAAUUAUUUGAUGAUAUUAACAUUCAAAUCUAGUUCCUUCUUAGGCCUAAUUUUGUCCUUAUGUUUGCUUUGCACUGAAUUAUUGUGGUUUAAAUAGCCCAUUUUACAUGACAACUUUCAAACAAGAGCAUAAAUUCUCAUAAAAACAGGCUAAGGAAUUCAUAAUGAUAGCUCUUGGCCGCCACCUAAAGGUUUAUUUCUUGUUUUAUUUUACAUGAGACCUACUAUGCAUUCCUUUUAUAAUAAAAUUGUUGUCUUGUCAUCACAUGUUUCUGCAUAAGUACAGGGUAAAAAGACUUUUUCAAGUUUGUUUUUUCACCUUUAUGUAGUUAAAUUAACAGCAUAUAUAAUUAUAUCUACUUUUCAAUUCAUUCAACACAACACACACAAAGAAAACCAGUUUAAACAAGGUUCUUUUAAAUGGUCAGAAAAUUUUUAUGCGUUUAAGAAAUAGUGUGUUCUUAUUAUGUAUCACCCCCCACACCUAAGGCCCGUAAUGAAAGAAAUUUAACUAAACUCACAUUUACUGAACCACUGUUGAGUGUAAUGUAAUAGAAAACUCCUCAAAUUCCAUCAAGAACAUUAACAGAUAUAACUUCUUCAUUACGCUUGAGAGUAAAUGAGAUACUAUAAUUAAUGAUUCUUGCUCCGUAUCUUAUUAUCACUCCCUUUAUUCUCCUCCUAAAAAGCACUUGAUUGAAUCAAGCUAAAUAUCUUCAACGCCUUACUUGGACUCUGACAAAGUCAACCUUGGAGAAUGGAUUUAUGAUAUCAUAGGGAAAAUUAGUUAUGAACUCUACAAACUUCUCAUUUCAAAGCUCAUAUGGAUAGAGCAUCUAUGAAUCACUCAAAUUCUUGUUAAACAUAUAGACAAGUUGCAUUAGCACAUGCACUUUCCAAUAUAUAGUCCAUGUACUUAUCCUUGAUUUAUCUAUAGAACGCCAUUCAUGAUUUUAUUAAUUCAAAAAAUAUUUACUAGGCACCUACUAUGUGCCAGGCACCCAUCAUUAUCAGUGUUCAGUAAAGCAGACUGGUCUUUCCCUUCAUCGAUCUUGUGAAGGCAACAGAAAAUGAACAAAAAAAUAGGUAAAACAUAUAAAGAUACUGGCUACAAAGGAACUGAAUACCAUACCAUUAUAGGGAAUAAUUCUGGGGAGACACAGACCAACAAUAGGUAGGUAAGUCAAGAAAGGCCUCUCCUAGGAGACAGUUUUUAAACUGGGACCUGAAGAAUAAACAGCCGGCUCUGCCAAGAAUAGAGAGGAAGAGGUGGAGGAAAUUGUGUACGCAAAGGACAAAUACUAACAGAGGGCCAAGGGAACUAAAGCAGAGUGAGCCAAGGGGAGUGUCAUGGAUGGGAUUAGAGAAGUAAGCAGAAACCAAAUCAUGCAAGGCCUUGAAAGCUAUGGUAAGGAUUUGGGGUUUUAUUUGAAAGAGAAUGGAAAGCCAUGAUAGCAGGUUAAAAAAGGAAGUAAAUUGAUCUGUUGGCUGCAUGAAGAAGGAAUUAGAGGCAGCCAAGAGAAAAGGGAGAUAGAAGUCUAUCACAGAAAUACAGAUGGGAGAGAUGAUGGUGAUGGUGACAUGGACAAGGUGGUAGCAGUGGAGGCAAAAACAAGUGAUCACAUUUGUGAUGCAUUUUGGAGUGAGGCCUUGGUGGAUCAGAUGACCCUGUGGUUCUGCUGUUCCUUCCCAGCUUGUUAGCAUCUGCUGACAUAACUUUGAAAAGCUGACAUAGUUUUCCAAAUAAGAUUUUAAAUCACACCCAAGCUUUUAAUUCAGUUUUUUUAAGUUUUAAAGAAAAUAUCUUAAUAGAAUGACCAAUUUGUACAUCGAGAAACACUUAUUAUAUAGUAUCUUCUGCAAAUGAAAUAGUCCACAAAACUAAUUUUAUAAAUAAUGGAAGUGUAUCUAUUAAAAGCAAAAGAGCUUAUUUUACUUUAACCACUUUGAAAUAAUUAUUUUCUAAAAUUGUUCAAUAUUUCCUUGAUCUUUCAAACAGAAUAUAUUCAAAAUAGUUAAGCUUCUCAAAAACUCAAACAUAUUGUGAAGAAACGUAUAUGAAACAUACCUCUGUAGUAUGUAGUAUGGCUAAAAAUAGUGAGAGGCAAAAAUGAGUUUCCCCUACUCUGAAAAACUGAAAACUACCUUGCUGUGAAAUCAUUACAUUUUUAUUUUGUUGCCUCAGUUUCCCAUAGUCCUUAUGGUGCCUGACUGUCGUUAUCAACUUCUGACUCAUUCUAACACACUGCUUUACCUUGGCUGUAAGCUGGGAACCCUGCUAUCAGAAAUUCAUGUAAGUUUAUAGAAAAAGACUCUAAGUAAAGGGUAUGAAUUUUUGCAUUCUAUUUGGAUUGCACAGAGGCCUUUUUACACUCUGCUUUCUCAAGUAUAGUUUAGGCCAUUGAAGCUGCUUAAUCAGCAACAUGUAAGUCAAGGAAAUCUCCCUACAUUAGCAUGUUAUUUCCUACAGUUUCAUAAUGCCCCUUGAAAACUGAAUCCACAUUAAUAUAUACAUUAUCAUUUUUAAGUUUCUAUAAAGAAUCCUUCCUUGUGAUACAACUUCAACUACAUAAUUAUAAAUGUUGACUUUUCAUUUGAUGCCUAAAGUAUAGUUUUCAAAUGUAACAUAAAAGCAUUUUAUGGUAAAAUUUGACCCAAAAAGUAGAAUUUAUGUGUCUCAUAAAAGCAUAUAAAAUUUGACCCAAGAAAUAAUUUCAAAUUUCUUGACUCAGACUAUAAUAUUAUCUCUUUUCUUUUUUCAUUUUGACAUGGCAUGGAAACAAAAACAGAUCAAAUGUCCACAGAAACCCAAUCAGCAACACUACUUUCAAAGUGUCUUUUGACAAGUAAUAUGUGCAUUUUACAAAUCCAAAGGCAAUAUUUGAAGUAGCUCUUCAAAACAGCUGCAUUACUCAAAGCUAUCUCUGUAUCAUCGCCUUGUUUCCUGGAAGAAAAUGUGGAAAUGUGUACUGAAAAUGUGUAAAUGAUUAAAGCAUCAGUAUAAAGAAAAAACAUUCUGAAGAUGAAUAAAAAUUAUUUUGAGGGCUUGUUGAAAAACCAAACACCAGAUGUCCACGGCUGACUUGCCAAAUGAAAAUCCUUGAAAGAAAGGUCCAGAAAUUGGCAUUUCAAAUGAAUAUACCCCAGCUGAUUGACACAGGUGUUCCUUUGAGCAAUCCUGGAUAGCACUGUUGUAGACCCUAGGUAAGCAAUUGUGUGAUCUGCUUUUUCAACUUUGUGGUAGAUUGUAUUUUCCAAAGAUGACAGCACCAGUACAUACCAUCCUAUAUGCUCUUCCUAUAAGGUGACAUUGACAUGUCUCCACCAAAUGAUGGGAUUUACGUUACCUCUUCUUGGACCCGGGUGAACUUUUGACUACAGUAGAAGUGACACUAUGUGACUUCUAAGGCCAAUUCAUAAAAUGCAAUACAGCUUCCUCCUGGCUCCCUUGGGAUGCUGGCCCUAG
rnacentral:lncRNA from 1 species